rnacentral:rRNA from 1 species
AAUAGCCUAACGGCUGAACCAGCAACUUGGAAGAAUGAAUAGCAAUAGCUAAUUGCACAAAUACAUGGUGCAAUAUCGACUCAGUCGAAUAAAAUUCUGGCUAGAAUUAUGAUAAUGACAUUGUCUAGCCAUGUGUCUUGACCAAAUUACGUGCCAGCAGUCGCGGUAAUACGUAGAAGACUAGUGUUAUUCAUCUUUAAUUGGUUUAAAGGGUACCCAGACGGUAAAUCAAGCCCUAGACGGGACUAAUUUGCUAGAGUUUAUUACGCGGGGGUUUUAAAGUACUAAUGGUGUAGAGAUAAAAUUUUGUAAUACCAUUUUUUGAAAGAAAAGUCAUGGCACUGGUAAAGGCGAAAGCAUCCCCUUAUGUGAUAACUGACGUUGAAGGACGAAGGCUUUGGAUCGCGAAUAGGAUUAGAUACCCUAGUAGUCAAAGCAGAAAAUUAUGAGUGUCAUAGACUAGAGAUUAACUUUAUUCUAUAAAUGAAAGUGUAAGCACUCCACCUCAAGAGUAAUUUGGCAACAUUGGAACUGAAAUCAUUAGACCGUUUCUGAA